AUGGCCGGCUUUGAUCUCAAUGAGCUUCCUGAUGACUUUGUUGACUGUGAUGGUGGUCCCCUGUUCUGCACACAAGCCCAACCUGAAAAAGUCCCCAUUUCAAUCAAGGGGGUGGGCGAGUUGCCGGAUUUGUGUUCUGCUCCUGUCCAAGAUGUCGUAGGUGUGGGGUUUCGUGUUGUGGCUACUGGUGUGUCUGAUGCGACGGCAACUACUGAAACUAUCGCACCCGCACCUGCCAUGUUCAGCCCGGCUGCAACUCUGCCUAGCAAUGGUGGGCAAGGUCAUGCAAGUAGCGCUGGCUUGUUAGGUUUUGAUGAGAACGAGGUGUGA
rnacentral:rRNA from 1 species